rnacentral:tRNA from 1 species
GGGGAUGGGGCUCAGUGUUAGAGUACUUCGCUAUCAUAUGUAAGGCUUGGGUUCAAUCCCCAGCAUCUCCA